rnacentral:lncRNA from 1 species
GCGAUUCGUCGAUUGGCUCGAAGAGGUGGGGUGAAGAGAAUCAGUGGAUUGAUCUACGAAGAAACUCGUGGAGUACUCAAGAUCUUCUUGGAGAAUGUGAUUCGUGAUGCUGUGACAUACACUGAGCAUGCUAGGAGAAAGACGGUGACUGCCAUGGAUGUGGUUUAUGCUUUGAAGAGGCAAGGAAGGACUCUUUAUGGAUUUGGAGGUUAAGAAGGUGAUUUUGGUUUGUUCGUUGGAGAUCGGACAAGUCUUGCUGUCAAGAAUUAAAGAAGUGAUGAUAGCGAUAGCGGUGGCGGUGGAGACGAAGGUUGUUAAACUGUUUUAGGGUUAGGGUUAGGUGUUAGGCUUAUCAAAUUGUUAAUUUGAAUGGUGUUAUCUGUAAUUAGAUUGGUUUGGGAAUCUGAGUUUAUUUUAGAGAUACCGAGAAGUAUCUGUCUUUGUAAUUCAUUCUGUGAAUUGCAUUUUUUAAUGAAAUUUGGUUCGUUUUUUUCUGAAUUUUUCUUUUGUUUUCGAUUUAAAUUAACUCUUUUCACAGAUUAAACAGAGAGGAGUUGAGCUAUGUUCUGUUCAAUAGAUAUAAUUGUACUUCAACAAAAAAAAAAAAAAAAGAAGGGAGAAUUGUCACUUAGUUCUGGUUUGUCUUUUUAUUCCGUCCUUUCCGCGAGUUGAAGAAGCUCAGAUUGCUGGUAGAAUGGAUGAACUUUGGCUUAAAAGGUAAAGUUAUGGAACAUGGAAAAAGCCGCUCAAUUUGGUUAUUACCUGUAUUGGUUUUGCUAACCAAUAAAAAAGAAUUUAAUUUUUCUGAUUAUGAUCUCAAAACUAUUUAUCUGUAAGAUUCUUUUUUUAUCUCAAUGUUAUCAAAUGAGUUCAUCAUCAUCAUCGUCAUCUUCUUUUUGAGAUUCGAAAUGCUUGAAAUCUACUUAACAACCACUACAAUAUCAUCAUCUUCACAAGAUCAAUGGCACCUCCUAUAACCGAAACUCGGUCUCCCUAUACUGAAAAUUAAAUAAGAUACAAAUUAAUAAAUAAAUAAAUAAAUAAAUAAGCUCUUUGAAUAUAAGAAUCAAGCAUUUAGAGAUAAGAGAAGGGAGAUAUAUUCAUUCAUUUGCUUUCUUCAAUUUAGCUCAACAACAAAGUGAAUCAUACUUUGAUUCUCAAAUUCCUUCUUUGUUUCUUUUCUACUACGUCGCUUGGCUCGAGUAAGCAAGUUUGGUGACGGUUCCAAAUCUAAUAAUUCAUUUGAAGCGUUAUUAUACAUGUUUCGAAUCUCCCUCUUCCAAUGUCCCAAAAAGAAAAAACGGUUCAUAAGAUGGGUUAAUUUCAAAGGUAAAAUGAGGCAUUAUGGAAGGUGGAUGGAGAAUCCAUGGACGAAAUUUUUUGCUUGGUUACCGUUGUCUUUUAUUUAUUUAUUUAUUUAUUUAUUUUUGCUUUAAUUAAGAUACAUGUCAAUGGACAAUUUUUCUAUUUUUAUAAAAAAUUUAGCUAAAAAAUGACAUUUUUCUAACUCGCAGAUUAAAUAAUUUAAAAGGUCAAAAAUAUAAAACAUUAUAAUAUAUUUCUAAAAAAAAAAGGAUAAAGUAGAAAAAGAUCAAACCUCAGGGACUGCAAACAAUUUAAAAGAAAAAUUAAAUUUUAACUUCAAUGCUAAAUAUAUUCUAAAUUUAUGUAACAUAGUUUGAUAUUUGUUUCAAUAUUUGAAAUUCACAUUACAAAAUCGGCUUGUAUUUAAUGUAAAUUGAGCCCAUAUCUUAAUAAUAUAGUAAAUAUAUAAAGAUAAUAGUUUUUCUGCUAGUAUAUUAAAUUGGUGAAAACUUAAAGAUUUGAAUUUAAAACAUCUUAUUGGUAAUAUUUUUUAUAUUUUUGGAGGUGAAAAAAAACGUAUUUAAAAUCCUUCAAAUAGGAAGAUUUAUAUUUCAACGAGUGCACCGAAAAGAAGAAAAAAAAAAAAAAAGAAAAGAAAAGGAAAGAGUUGAUUUGAGUUUGGAGAAAGUUUUUACAUUCCAUUGAUUGGACCCAUUAUAUUAUGCUUUAGGCCCGGGGCCCAGCCCACAAAACAACACGCUCCAAAAAUCAAAACCAUCUUACUGAAUAAUAAUUCGAAUUUUGUAAAAUUUGCUAAAAUUUUCAGUACCGCCAAAUCCCACAAACCAGCCCGCGCGUGUUUUUCCCCGUUCCAAAAAAUCAAAAGGACCUCACGGCAUGCACCAUCCACGUUAUCGAUCCUCAACACACCAACCUCUCCAAUCUUAAACCGUCCAAUCAACUUAAUCAACGAUCCAAACCAUUCUUUAGAUCAAUCACAAGGAUCAAUACUGACACUAAUUUCCCAUCUCUCUGUCUAUAAAUAUCCUGAAAACCCAAAUCAUCAAAACGAAACUCACACUAUUCGAUCUCUCUUUAGCUUUAUUCACAGGUUGCAGUGUAAAUCUCGAUCGGUUAAAAGAUGUCAGGCCGUGGAAAGGGCGGAAAGGGGCUGGGCAAAGGAGUAUCAAAGCGUCAUCGGAAAGUUCUCCGUGAUAACAUUCAGGGAAUCACAAAGCCGGCGAUUCGCCGGUUGGCUCGAAGAGGUGGAGUGAAAAGAAUCAGUGGAUUGAUCUACGAAGAAACUCGUGGAGUACUCAAGAUCUUCUCGGAGAAGGUGAUUCGUGAUGCUGUGACAUACACUGAGCAUGCUAGGAGAAAGACGGUGACCGCCAUGGAUGUGGUCUAUGCUUUGAAGAGGCAAGGAAGGACUCUUUAUGGAUUUGGAGGGUAAGAAGGGAGUCUUGGUUUGUGGUGUUGG